rnacentral:rRNA from 1 species
UACGUAGGGUGCGAGCGUUGUCCGGAAUUAUUGGGCGUAAAGGGCUCGUAGGCGGUCUGUCACGUCGGGAGUGAAAACCCAGGGCUCAACCCUGGGCCUGCUUCCGAUACGGGCAGACUAGAGGUAUGCAGGGGAGAAUGGAAUUCCUGGUGUAGCGGUGAAAUGCGCAGAUAUCAGGAGGAACACCGGUGGCGAAGGCGGUUCUCUGGGCAUUACCUGACGCUGAGGAGCGAAAGUGUGGGGAGCGAAACAGG